GGCCCUGUGGCUUAGUUGGUCAAACUUUCAAAGCACCUGUCUAGUAAACAGGAGAUCCUGGGUUCAAAUCCCAGCAGAGCCU